rnacentral:rRNA from 1 species
GACGAACGCUGGCGGCGUGCUUAACACAUGCAAGUCGAACGGAAAGGCCCUGCUUUUGUGGGGUGCUCGAGUGGCGAACGGGUGAGUAACAAGUGAGUAACCUGCCCUUGACUUUGGGAUAACUUCAGGAAACUGGGGCUAAUACCGGAUAGGAGCUCCUGCUGCAUGGUGGGGGUUGGAAAGUUUCGGCGGUUGGGGAUGGACUCGCGGCUUAUCAGCUUGUUGGUGGGGUAGUGGCUUACCAAGGCUUUGACGGGUAGCCGGCCUGAGAGGGUGACCGGCCACAUUGGGACUGAGAGACGGCCCAGACUCCUACGGGAGGCAGCAGUGGGGAAUAUUGCACAAUGGGCGGAAGCCUGAGGCAGAAACGCCGCGUGCGGGAUGACGGCCUUCGGGUUGUAAACCGCUUUCGCCUGUGACGAAGCGUGAGUGACGGUAAUGGGUAAAGAAGCACCGGCUAACUACGUG